GGCGUGCUUAACACAUGCAAGUCGAGCGGAAAGGCCCUUCGGGGUACUCGAGCGGCGAACGGGUGAGUAACACGUGAGUAACCUGCCCCUGACUCUGGGAUAAGCCCGGGAAACUGGGUCUAAUACCGGAUACGACACCUCCUGGCAUCGGGUGGGUGUGGAAAGUUUUUUCGGUUGGGGAUGGACUCGCGGCCUAUCAGCUUGUUGGUGGGGUAAUGGCCUACCAAGGCGACGACGGGUAGCCGGCCUGAGAGGGCGACCGGCCACACUGGGACUGAGACACGGCCCAGACUCCUACGGGAGGCAGCAGUGGGGAAUAUUGCGCAAUGGGCGAAAGCCUGACGCAGCGACGCCGCGUGGGGGAUGACGGCCUUCGGGUUGUAAACCUCUUUCAGCAGGGACGAAGUUGACGUGUACCUGCAGAAGAAGCGCCGGCUAACUACGUGCCAGCAGCCGCGGUAAUACGUAGGGCGCAAGCGUUGUCCGGAAUUAUUGGGCGUAAAGAGCUCGUAGGUGGCUU
rnacentral:rRNA from 1 species